rnacentral:rRNA from 1 species
CGACGUAGGUAACCUGCCUUGUAGCGGGGGAGUAACUAUUGGAAACGAUAGCUAAUACCGCAUAACAAUGGAUGACACAUGUCAUUUAUUUGAAAGGGGCGAAUGCUCCACUACAAGAUGGACCUGCGUUGUAUUAGCUAGUAGGUGAGGUAACGGCUCACCUAGGCGACGAUACAUAGCCGACCUGAGAGGGUGAUCGGCCACACUGGGACUGAGACACGGCCCAG